UACGGGGGGAGCAAGCGUUGUUCGGAUUUACUGGGCGUAAAGGGCGCGUAGGCGGCUCAUGAAGGCUGUGGUGAAAGUCCGGGGCUCAACCUCGGAUCGGCCGUGGCGACUCGUGGGCUGGAGCACUGUAGAGGCGGGUGGAAUUCCGGGUGUAGCGGUGGAAUGCGUAGAGAUCCGGAAGAACACCAGUGGCGAAGGCGGCCCGCUGGGCAGUGGCUGACGCUGAAGCGCGACAGCGUGGGGAGCAAACAGG
rnacentral:rRNA from 1 species